CCUGAUUGAUUCUGUCAGCGCGAUAUGCUCAAGUAAAAGAUUAAGCCAUGCAUGCUUUGAUUCAUCAAUGAAAUUGCGUACGGCUCAUUAGAGCAGAUAUCACCUUGUUCGGAAUAUUAUAUGGAUAACUGCGGAAAUACUGGAGCUAAUACAUGUCAUACAUCCCCAACGUAAGGCGGGGUGCAAUUAUUAGAACAGACCAAACGUUUUCGGACGUUGUUUGUUGACUCUGAAUAAAGCAGUUUACUGUCAGUUUCGACUGACUCUAUCCGAAAAGGGUGUCUGCCCUUUCAACUAGAUGGUAGUUUAUUGGACUACCAUGGUUGUUACGGGUAACGGAGAAUAAGGGUUCGACUCCGGAGAGGGAGCCUUAGAAACGGCUACCACGUCCAAGGAAGGCAGCAGGCGCGAAACUUAUCCACUGUUGAGUAUGAGAUAGUGACUAAAAAUAUAAAGACUCAUCCUUUUGGAUGAGUUAUUUCAAUGAGUUGAAUACAAAUGAUUCUUCGAGUAGCAAGGAGAGGGCAAGUCUGGUGCCAGCAGCCGCGGUAAUUCCAGCUCUCCUAGUGUAUCUCGUUAUUGCUGCGGUUAAAAAGCUCGUAGUUGGAUCUAGGUUACGUGCUGCAGUUCGCAAUUUGCGUCAACUGUAGUCGUGACUUCUAAUUUGCUGGUUUGAGGUUGGGUUCGCCCUUCAACUGCCAGCAGGUUUACCUUGAAUAAAUCAGAGUGCUCAAAACAAGUGUUUGCUUGAAUAGCUCAUCAUGGAAUAAUGAAACAGGACUUCGGUUCUUUUUGUUGGUUCUAGAACUGAUUUAAUGGUUAAGAGGGACAAACCGGGGGCAUUCGUAUCAUUACGCGAGAGGUGAAAUUCGUGGACCGUAGUGAGACGCCCAACAGCGAAAGCAUUUGCCAAGAAUGUCUUCAUUAAUCAAGAACGAAAGUCAGAGGUUCGAAGGCGAUUAGAUACCGCCCUAGUUCUGACCGUAAACGAUGCCAUCUCGCGAUUCGGAGGGUUUUUGCCCUGCCGAGGAGCUAUCCGGAAACGAAAGUCUUUCGGUUCCGGGGGUAGUAUGGUUGCAAAGCUGAAACUUAAAGAAAUUGACGGAAGGGCACCACAAGGCGUGGAGCUUGCGGCUUAAUUUGACUCAACACGGGAAAACUCACCCGGUCCGGACACCAUUAGGACUGACAGAUUGAAAGCUCUUUCUCGAUUUGGUGGUUGGUGGUGCAUGGCCGUUCUUAGUUGGUGGAGUGAUUUGUCUGGUUUAUUCCGAUAACGAGCGAGACUCUAGCCUGUUAAAUAGUUGGCGAAUCUUCGGGUUCGUAUAACUUCUUAGAGGGGUAAGC
rnacentral:rRNA from 1 species